ensembl:lncRNA
GUGGUAGGUGGUAGUAGAGCUGCUUAAAUGGGAAACCCUUAGAUCCAGCCCCUCGUGCUCACCCUAAAGCAAUUGAACAGCCCCGCAACAGGAAAAGGGAGCAAAGCUCAGUCCCAGAAGAAUGCAGUUGCACUUGUUUUCAAUCCCCUCUCCAUAUUAUUGCAUCCUUCACAGGUCAGAGUAGCUGGAGGCCCAGGAAGGUGCAGAUUUUUGGGACAAAAAGCUCUGUUGGCCCCUCUUUGGAUCUAAACAGGGCCAUGGUCUCAGCCUCGCUGAAAGAGAAGCUGAAGUUUCUCCUCAAGUCUAAGCAGCAAUCUGCACUUCACAAAGUUAGCACCUGGUCUUGUGAUGAUUUUCACUGCUGGUUUUAAACCAUGCAGGAGUUUUAAUCUGCUACCAUUACAGCUGCCAAGAUGUUUUAAUAAACAGGCACUGGACUGGGAGGUGAGGGGAUGAGCAAAGGGGCUGGCUCCACCUUCUUCAGCCUGGAUGUGUCCAGGGGGAGCAUGGAGCAUCUCCCAUCAGAGUGUAACUGGAUAUGCACCCACCCCUGACACCGAGAGUGCCCUGCACCUGGGAAGGGAUUGCAGAGGUCUGACACAGGCUGAAGUUCACUUUUACCAGAGAACUGCUAAAAUUAAAAGUCAGUGUGUAAAUGUGCAAAGCCACCUAAUGCUGACCCCAGACCAGCACAAGCUGAGUAUCUUGAGGAUUCUUCACAAGCCUCCAAGAGCACCUGGACCUAGGCAGGACACUCAAAACUUUGCAGGCAACCCAGAAACCUGCGAGUCCCAGCUGCAGUAAUGAUGGCCAAACCAGAUUUUCUGGCAACAGCUUCCUUCACUUCCCAGUCUGGACCCACAUUUCCCAUUGACCUUCUCCAUCCCACACUUUUCUGUGGGUGCAUGUGAGUUAACUCCUUAUGCCACAAAACCUGGGGUUGUUUUCUGCCUGCUGUGACGGCCCCAGGUUUGGCCUGUGGAUGCUGUGCCUGCGAGUGGUUCUGCCAUUAUCAAAUCUCUGCAGCACACAAGGCACAGGUGUGGGCUGUGAGUUUGGGAAGGAGAGCUGAAGAUGACCUCAUGCUGGACUUUGGAAAGAGGAUGUUAAAGAGCUCAGGCAGCCCGUGCUGACAGAGAGACACGCACCUGUGCAGCAGGGACUCUGCCUUCCUCUUUCCUCUGUGCUCCCACAUGGAGAAACCCCAGCCCCAGCUGAAGUUCGGAGGGCCCCACACAGAACCAAGCUGCAGGUUCAGGGCUUAACUAGAGAUUACACCCACAUCAAAACGGGGUAUGGAAGAGAAGAAACAAAACUGGUUUAACUGUAUUAACUCCACUGUUAAUACGGGCCAGUAGUACACUUGACUUUAUGGUUGCGAAUUGGUUUAAGAUUAAAAAAAAAAAAAACCAAAAUGUGAAGAAUUGCAUUUUCUGUACAAUUCCCUGUUCCCAGUCAUCUCCUUGUCUUCAGAAAGUGACUCUGGGCAUGCUGCCAUUGUUACUUACCUCUCCUCCUUCAUCAGACCUAUUCUUGUUUCUACUUGGCGCUCUUAAUUCCUUAAAUAUAAAAGUUUAUAUUUAUCUAUAUAAUUAUACACACAUACUGCACUCAAAUUUCCUCAGGAUAUGACUCUUCCAUGCUGCAUAAACUUCCUUCCCUGGCCUUCUCCAGCUCUAUCAUUCUUUUUGCUGCUGUCCAGGGUGCAGCUGUCAGGGGCAGGAAGCCCCAGACCCUGCUUCUCACAUCCAGACUGAUCAAGGUCAGGAAAAGGGUAGCCAGUACCUGCUGCCUCCCAAACCCU